UUCACACCUACACCUAAACCCAUUUUUCAUAGCAGUGCUUUAAACAGAGCUGUUCACAAGUGGAUCUCAUCGCCUUUGAGAGGCCGUGGCUGUGCCCCUCAAAGUGAAUUUGGAGGUUCCACACUC